rnacentral:ribozyme from 1 species
UGCCCAGCAACUCCUAUCCCUACCUCCUCGCGGUACCGGCCGGAAACUAUGAGCAACUUAGGGAAGAUCGGGUAACCAACCCCGGUGGGAACUUUGGCCGUAGGAUGACAGGGAAGG